UUAAAAGUAUGUGAAAUUGUUGAAAGGGAAACGAUUGAAGUCAGUCGUGCAGUCAUCAACUCAGGGGUAGCGUGAGUAAUUUAUUGCUUACGUUUUCGUGUACUUUGUUGUCUGCUGGUUAGCUCAAUUUUGAUUGUCAUAAAAAGGUUAAGGGGAUGUGGCUCCUUCGGGAGUGUUAUAACCUUAGCGGAAUGUGGCGAUUGGGAUUGAGGAUUGCAACGAAUACCUUUAGGGCUGUUCCCCUGGCUUCUCUUUGGUAUCCUGGUGACGACAGCUUGCUGACGUUGUUAGGAUUCGCCUUGAACAGGCUAGAGUGUGAGCAAAUUCGUUAAGGAUGUUAACGUAAUGGCUUUAAACGA
rnacentral:rRNA from 1 species